rnacentral:rRNA from 1 species
GAUGAACGCUGGCGGCGUGCCUAAUACAUGCAAGUCGAGCGAACAGACGAGGAGCUUGCUCCUCUGACGUUAGCGGCGGACGGGUGAGUAACACGUGGAGAACCUACCUAUAAGACUGGGAUAACUUCGGGAAACCGGAGCUAAUACCGGAUAAUAUAUUGAACCGCAUGGUUCAAUAGUGAAAGACGGUUUGGCUGUCACUGAUAGAUGGAUCCGCGCCGCAUUAGCUAGUUGGUAAGGUAACGGCUUACCAAGGCAACGAUGCGUAGCCGACCUGAGAGGGUGAUCGGCCCCACUGGAACUGAGACACGGUCCAGACUCCUACGGGAGGCAGCAGUAGGGAAUCUUCCGCAAUGGGCGAAAGCCUGCCGGAGCAACGCCGCGUGAGUGAUGAAGGUCUUCGGAUCGUAAAACUCUGUUCUUAGGGAAGAACAAAUGUGUAAGUAACUAUGCACGUCUUGACGGUACCUAAUCAGAAAGCCACGGCUAACUACGUG